rnacentral:misc_RNA from 1 species
AUGAAAUUUUUUAAUUGAUCUUUCCCUUUAGUAACUUUUAGGGUCAGAUCUCUUAACUUUUUGUGAACCUUUAAAAUAUUUUCGGGUGAAGUCCUUUAUGGCUUUCACUUGUUUUUUUUUACACUUAAUGUAAUUUUACUUGCCUUUAAUAAAUUUUUGUAUUAAACAAAAA